UGCAAUUCAGGAAAACUGCCAUCAUUUUCAUGCAAAUGACCCAAAAACCGAAAGUUGUUAUGGCAGGAAAAAUGUUUCCGGUUACCUUGACUACAUUUGCUUCGAUUAUGAGAACUUCGUAUUCAAUUUUGACUGUGGCCAAUCAACUGCGCUAAAUUGAAGAUAUAAUGCUGGAAGUCCAAGUGGAAUGGU